rnacentral:rRNA from 1 species
ACUCCUACGGGAGGCAGCAGUGGGGAAUAUUGCACAAUGGGGGAAGCCCCUGAUGCAGCCAUGCCGCGUGUGUGAAGAAGGCCUUCGGGUUGUAAAGCACUUUCAGUAGGGAGGAAGGUAGUGUAGUUAACACCUGCACUAUUUGACGUUACCUACAGAAGAAGCACCGGCUAACUCCGUGCCAGCAGCCGCGGUAAGUACGGAGGGUGCGAGCGUUAAUCGGAAUUACGUGGGCGUAAAGCGCAUGCAGGCGGCCUGUUAAGUCAGAUGUGAAAGCCCGGGGUCUUAACCUCGGAAUUGCAUUUGAAACUGGCAGGCUAGAGUCUUGUAGAGGGGUUAGAAUUUCAGGUGUAGCGGUGAAAUGCGUAGAGAUCUGAAGGAAUACCGAGUGGCGAAGGCGGCCCCCGUGGAC